UACGUAGGGGGCAAGCGUUGUCCGGAAUCAUUGGGCGUAAAGCGCGCGUAGGCGGCCCUGUAAGUCCGUUGUGAAAGUCAAAGGCUCAACCUUUGAAAGCCGAUGGAUACUGCAGGGCUAGAGUCCGGAAGAGGAGAGUGGAAUUCCUGGUGUAGCGGUGAAAUGCGCAGAUAUCAGGAAGAACACCCGUGGCGAAGGCGGCUCUCUGGGACGGUACUGACGCUGAGACGCGAAAGCGUGGGGAGCGAACAGG
rnacentral:rRNA from 1 species